UGGGGAAUUUUGCACAAUGGGGGAAACCCUGAUGCAGCGACGCCGCGUGAUUUAGAAGGCCUUCGGGUUGUAAAAAUCUUUUCUAUGGGAAGAAAAUGACAGUACCAUAGGAAUAAGGACCGGCUAAUUACGUGCCAGCAGCCGCGGUAAUACGUAAGGUCCGAGCGUUGUCCGGAAUCAUUGGGCGUAAAGGGUACGUAGGCGGGUAAGCAAGUUAGAAGUGAAAUUCUAUAGCUCAACUAUAGUAAGCUUUUAAAACUGCUCAUCUUGAGUGAUGGAAGGGAAAGUGGAAUUCCUAGUGUAGCGGUGAAAUGCGCAGAUAUUAGGAGGAAUACCGGUGGCGAAGGCGACUUUCUGGCCAUAACCUGACGCUGAGGUACGAAAGCGUGGGUAGCAAACAGG
rnacentral:rRNA from 1 species